UACGUAGGGUGCGAGCGUUGUCCGGAAUUAUUGGGCGUAAAGAGCUUGUAGGCGGUUUGUCGCGUCUGCCGUGAAAAUCCGGGGCUCAACCCCGGACUUGCGGUGGGUACGGGCAGACUAGAGUGUGGUAGGGGAGACUGGAAUUCCUGGUGUAGCGGUGAAAUGCGCAGAUAUCAGGAGGAACACCGAUGGCGAAGGCAGGUCUCUGGGCCACUACUGACGCUGAGGUGCGAAAGCGUGGGGAGCAAACAGG
rnacentral:rRNA from 1 species